rnacentral:miRNA from 2 species
CGUGGUUUUAUGCAGCUCCUCACUCCUCUCCUCCCGUCUUCUUCUUCUUCCUCCCAUUCCUGCCUGUCUCGGCGGCUC